GAUCCGGAGCGCCCGGCUCGGGAGCCGCUGCCACGGGACCCCUGCAGUGAGAAGCGGGUCGGGCUCUGCUGCUAAAGGGACUUUCAAAACGUUGCAAGGCCAGGGUUACUACAACAGAAUCUGGUCAGGGGGAGGAGACCAAAGGAGAACUCAGCUGAAGUGCCAAUGUGCGGUUCACCUCCACUUCCCAUUAACUUUAAGGGACUUAGUUACACAAGAGGGGAAAAAAAAGUCCCAGAAGUUGUGCUGCUCAAACCCUUGUACUUUACAGAUUAAAAGCAAGCGGGAGACCCAGAAAGAGGAAGUAGUUCGCCUAGUAUGAGAAAGCUUGCUGAUGAGGAAGCCUGGCCUUGUGAAUUGCUCCACCUGUGCCUAUCUGAAGGCCAACGAUUAUUUGGUAGUAUUAUUUUCAGGUUCCUUCUUGCUGAAUUUAAAUAUCACCUUUUGUGUGGGAGUUUCUCUGGCGUUCCUGGCUGUUGCAGGUCAGUUAAUGGUUCCGGAUGAAUGCUUCUCAAACUCUUUGUUCUCAGGAGCCCAUUGCACUCUUGAAUAUUAUGAAGACUCCAAAGAGCUUUUGUUUAUGUGAGCUAUAUUUUGUAAUAUUGACUACAAUAUAAAUGCAAAAUAAAAAUGAUUAUUGAUUUAUUCACUUAAUGAUAACACAAUAACAUCUUUUGAAAAUAUAGUCAGGCAUUGCUUAACAACAGGGAUAUAUUCUGAGAAAUGUCAUCAGGUGACUUGUGCUUGUGCAAACAUCAUAAAGUAUACAUACACAAACACAUAUAAUCCAGAUGAGUUGCUCAGUAUGGGCUCUUCGAACAAUCAAGAGACAGGUAAACUUGAAAGGUAUGAAGCUGCUACCAGCAUUAACAAGCACACUAGUUUACAAGACACAUUUUUAAAUAUGUAGUCCAGGCACCCAAGUGUCAUCCUUCACUCUUCAUUCUGUCUCUGCUGCCUGCAUUAGCUGAACAGCCAUGGGUCCGCUGAGUCUAACCUGACCACAGUGAAUUUUCACAUAAUGUAAAUCCUAUCAGUUUACUCUUUGGCUUAAUAUGCUUCACUCAGUUAUCUUUUUAUUAUAUGUGAAUAAAAUCCUACAAGGUUCUGCAUGAUCAGCCCCCACUUUUACCUUUAUUUCCCCAAUUUCUCACUGUCUCCAAAGAUCUUUCUGUUUAAUCCUGAAACCCUCUAAAUUCCUCUUCUCUUCUUUAUCUUUGCAUUUUGCCCUCUCUACUUGAAAUAAUUCACCUACUUUCCAGUGAUUGCUCACUCUCAUUCUUUAUGAAAUUCUCACUAAUAAAUAUUUUACCUCCACACAAAGUCUCAUCCUCCUGAAAUUCAACUGAAUUACCCUGUGUAUUUCCACAUCUUUC
rnacentral:lncRNA from 1 species